AAGCUUACCUUUGCCAAAAACCCACAAUAAAAUCCCAAACUUUGUAUCGUCCUGGUGCCUUCUAAACCCAACAAAACGCUACAGAGAAAGUUUGUGCCUUUCCCCCGAUUCACUGAGAAAUGAGUGACCCCAAGUACGGUUAUCCCUAUCCUCCUCCUAAUCAAGGUUACUAUCAGGGUCCUCCGGUGAUGGCACCACCACAGUAUGCCGCUGCGCCGCCACCCAAAAGACAGGCUGGUUUCCUUGAAGGAUGCCUUGCUGCCUUGUGUUGCUGCUGCCUCAUCGACGAGUGCUGCUGCGAUCCCUCCGUCAUCUUCAUCAGCUGAUCAUACUCCCUAUUUUCAUGUAAUCAAUAAUUAAGGGAUUAUUCAUCUCACAUAAUCCUCUUAACUAUAUAUAUAUACACAUAUGUGUAGUGUCAGUGUCAUUAUUGUAUUGCUUCUGGAUUUUAUAGCUUAUGUGUAGUUUAAACUUUUAAUAACUGCUAUCAUAUUAAGCACCGCUCUGUUUAGUAUGCGCUUCGGUUAGAUUGUGAAUUUCCUGUGUGUUUUCUUAGAAA